AUUAGAUAAAAAGCCAAUGCCUUCGGGCUUGUUGGUGAUUCAUGAUAACUAAACGAAUCGCAUGGCCUUGCGCCGGCGAUGGUUCAUUCAAAUUUCUGCCCUAUCAACUUUCGAUGGUAGGAUAGUGGCCUACCAUGGUUUCAACGGGUAACGGGGAAUUAGGGUUCUAUUCCGGAGAGGGAGCCUGAGAAACGGCUACCACAUCCAAGGAAGGCAGCAGGCGCGCAAAUUACCCAAUCCCGACUCGGGGAGGUAGUGACAAUAAAUACUGAUACAGGGCUCUUUGGGUCUUGUAAUUGGAAUGAGUACAAUUUAAAUCCCUUAACGAGGAACAAUUGGAGGGCAAGUCUGGUGCCAGCAGCCGCGGUAAUUCCAGCUCCAAUAGCGUAUAUUAAAGUUGUUGCAGUUAAAAAGCUCGUAGUUGAACCUUGGGCCUGGCUGGCCGGUCCGCCUAACCGCGUGCACUGGUUCGGCCGGGUCUUUCCUUCCGGCUAGCCUCAUGCCCUUCACUGGG
rnacentral:rRNA from 1 species